AAACCAUGUCCGUGACAAUACCAGGCACCGAUUCGGCGCCAAGGGGAGUCCUGGGUGGCUGGGUCACCUGCAGAUUUUGUCGUCCAGGUCUAGACCGGUGUGAGCCGCCAGCCAGGCAGUGCGACUGGUUUCCGAGGGAACGACCCACUGGGGUCUGACCGGUCGGCCUCCUACACCACCUCACCCCUUCCCAACCCCGGAUCCGGGCUGCCGCCCUGGGUGGGUUUGGCAAUUGUCCAGCUUGAGGUGGUUCAGGCCGCCCACAAGGAGCACAACGAGGCAGUCAGGAGCCGGGGCGGCCGACUGGGCUGGCCUGGAAGGAGAGGGACCGGCCGGAACUGCAACCGCAGCAGCCGGGAGCGCGGAGCCGGCGGCAGAGGUCACAGGAGGUGGGGGCCGUACACGCGUCCCUGGUGGCUGCGGGAGCGGCAUCUGCGGGCCCCGAACUCCCACCCCCCGCCGCUCCAAGGGCAAGAGGAGCGCGUGGCGGACCAAAGAGAGCCCGCGAGCGGCCGCGCGCCCACCAAUAGGUGCGGGGCUCGGAGCCGCCCAGCGCGCGCGGUCCCUCCCUCCUCCCUCCGCCCCCGCCCCCGCCGCCGCCGCCUACCCCUCCUGCCGCUCCUGACUCUGCUUCUCC
rnacentral:lncRNA from 1 species